AACGAACGCUGGCGGCAUGCCUAAUACAUGCAAGUCGAACGAGCCCUUCGGGGUUAGUGGCGCACGGGUGCGUAACGCGUGGGAAUCUGCCCUUGGGUUCGGAAUAACGUCGGGAAACUGACGCUAAUACCGGAUGAUGACGAAAGUCCAAAGAUUUAUCGCCCAGGGGAUGAGCCCGCGUAGGAUUAGCUAGUUGGUGAGGUAAAGGCUCACCGAGGCGACGAUCCUUAGCUGGUCUGAGAGGAUGAUCAGCCACACUGGGACUGAGACACGGCCCAGACUCCUACGGGAGGCAGCAGUAGGGAAUAUUGGACAAUGGGGGCAACCCUGAUCCAGCAAUGCCGCGUGAGUGAUGAAGGCCUUAGGGUUGUAAAGCUCUUUUACCCGGGAUGAUAAUGACAGUACCGGGAGAAUAAGCCCCGGCUAACUCCGUGCCAGCCGCCGCCGUAACAC
rnacentral:rRNA from 1 species